AUCCAUAGCUUUGUGAGACGGAGAUUGAUGAUUUUCUUUUCUCUUGAAGAAAACUGUCAUUUCUAAUGGGAUUCGAUUGCGGUACUGGAAAAGUCAUCUCUGAUCUCAAAAAUCUCUAUAGUCUUUUGCAAAAUUUUCUAGCUUAAUAUCUGAUCUUCCAACAUUUUUAAAUCUAAUCACUGGCUGUCGCUAAGUAUGACGUC
rnacentral:lncRNA from 1 species